rnacentral:rRNA from 1 species
GACGAACGCUGGCGGCGUGCUUAACACAUGCAAGUCGAACGGAAAGGCCCUGCUUUUGUGGGGUGCUCGAGUGGCGAACGGGUGAGUAACACGUGAGUAACCUGCCCUUGACUUUGGGAUAACUUCAGGAAACUGGGGCUAAUACCGGAUAGGAGCUCCUGCUGCAUGGUGGGGGUUGGAAAGUUUCGGCGGUUGGGGAUGGACUCGCGGCUUAUCAGCUUGUUGGCGGGGUAGUGGCUUACCAAGGCUUUGACGGGUAGCCGGCCUGAGGGGGUGACCGGCCACAUUGGGACUGCGAUACGGCCCAGACUCCUACGGGAGGCAGCAGUGGGGAAUAUUGCACAAUGGGCGGAAGCCUGAUGCAGCAACGCCGCGUGCGGGAUGACGGCCUUCGGGUUGUAAACCGCUUUCGCCUGUGACGAAGCGUGAGUGACGGUAAUGGGUAAAGAAGCACCGGCUAACUACGUG